AAACCCUGCAAAACCACCUCAGUUGAGAGCCGCUGCCCUGUGAGUGCCUGAUACUUGGGUAGGAGACUAAGAUACCAGAUGGAGAAGAGGCAGCAGGAAUGCACUGGCCCAGCCUGGCCGGGGAGGGGUGCUGUCUGGGGGCAGGCCAGGCAAUGAUGACUGAGACUUCUGGUGACAUCAGCCCUUCUCCUUGGGAAGCUGGUUCAGUGGGGCUGUCAAUCAUAGUCACCAACCCUGCCCUGCCCUGCCCUGCCAGACACUGGAGUCAAGCAAGGAGCAGCCACUGCACCCUGUCGCCCAGUCACUGGGUUGAUGAGUGAGACAACCCUGAAGAAGGGAGGCGUCUCAAGGAAGAAAAACAUGGGGGCGAUUCUGGCGCAACAUGAUGUCACAAGAUAAAGGACAGGACCUCAUGGCCGCUCGAAAACUCAACAGUAAAGAGAAUGCCAGGACCCUAAAUGAACCCCUACUAACCCUAAGUGAGUCAGAGAAAGUCUCCACCGAUGACUCCCCAGGACCGUGCGGCCACCAACGGAGCCAGCCCGCUGGCCAAAAGAAGGUAGAAAGCGCUUUCAGGCCUGCCCAGUGUCUCCUGGCGGAUAAGUGUGGCCCUUACUCCCCCAGAUGCCAUGGGGCCACGUGGGGGGGUGACAGCCCCGAGCUGCUCGCGGUCUGGCUCCCCGCAGAAAAACCCCAACUCCCAAGAAACGCCUGGGCCGGAAGCGGAAGCGCGGGUGCGUGCGUGCUGCAUUCUGGGAAGUGUAGUCCACAGAGGCCGGAAGAGUCCGUGAGAGCCGUGCAUUUGGGGGAAGGUAGUCCUCUAGUGGUCUGAGAGCCGGCGGCGUGAGCUGGAGUGGUUCACCUAAACCCCACGCCGUGGCGGGGGUUAACAGUUUGGGGACUUAGAGUGAAUACGUAGAAUUUGGUUUUGUCUCUCCCAACCACCAACACCCACGGAAGCGGAGAAUAGGACCUAUCCACGCUUCAGUGGUGGCAAGCAGGCCUGAGUUAUUCCGCCCUCGAACGAGUAAAUCAGCUGCGUAACCUCCCGGAACCUUUGUUUCCGUAUCUGUAAAACGGGCAGAUAAAUCAUUCUCACUUGGCAGCCUUGAUAACUCAAUCAAGUAACUAGCAAGGUGCUUAACACACCUUCCUUGCUUGACAAACCCCUCUUCCCUUUGAAGCUGAGCGUGCAGAGCAAAUGGAUGUGUUUUGUAACCAGGAGCAAAAAUUGUGCUUCAGCGGAGCACUUGGGACGUUUUCUUUGCAAAGUAGGAGUUCCUGCAAAUUCCAGCCAAAACUCAUAGGGGGAAAUAUAAGGAAAUCUUGUCACCCAGAGACUCAGCAAGGACGUGUGACCUUACUAGCCAACACACAGUAAGAUUGUUGAAACUUUCAAAGUAAAUAGUAGGCAGCAAAAAGAACAAGAAAGCUCCAUAUGCACUGAUGGGGGAAAAGCUUCAAGAAAUGGUUGGCCACUUGUGUUUCCUCUUGUGGGAAUUGCUAAAAUAUUACUGUCCCUUGGUCUUUUGUCACGCCAACUGGGUGUAAAACUUCGGGCACCACGUCUCCUAAGAGUUUCUAUUUACA